UGACCAUUUUAUAGGAAUCCUGACCAACUAAUGUCAAUUUUGACCCUGGUAUGGGUGAAACUUCUUAGAAAUUGUAAACUCUCUUCUGCUUAUAUAUCUUGCUCUGCUGUGUUAUAGAAUAUAUAUAAAAUAUGGAAAUCCAAGGGGUUUAAGGAGGGAGUUGAAGGCCACGGAAUAUGUGCCAAUGCAUGCCAUCAGGUUGUGGGUCUAAAGAAAGAUAUUUAUUUCUUUCCUUUUCUUCUUCUGGAACAUUCAACCCAUACCCCCUGUCUUUUAUUUCUCUCUCCCUAUUCACUUUAUAAGCUGCCUACGUCCCUACCUCCCUUCCGAAAUUGCUUUCUCUAAGGCUGUGGUUCUCAGUCUUGGCUGCACACUGAAAUCACCUGGAUACCUUUAGAAAUGACUGAUUCCUGAGUCUCCCUACCAGAGAUUCUGAUUGAACUCUUUUGGGGCAUGGCCAAGGCGUCAGGAGCUUUAAAGCUUCCCAGGUGAUUCUCCCGUGCAGCCAGUGUGAGACCACACACUGCCCUAAGGUUUCUAGGUAAAUACAAUGGCCUGGUCUCAGUCUUCAUUGUGCUUGCCUCCUAACAGCAUUGGACAUUAUUGAUUACUCCCUGAUUCUUGAAAUGUUCUUUUAUUUUGAGGGACAUCAUUCUGAGUCUCCUGUCUUUUAUUCUGACUCCUUUGCAAGUUUGCCCAGCUAUGGGCAUUCUUCCAGACCCUGUUUCUGGCCAUCUAUUCUACAAGUACACUCUUGAUUCAGUGAUCACCUCUGUGCCCCAAAUUUCCUGGUUUUACAUCUCAAAAUAGAGUUGUGUCUACGGAGCCUGGCACGUGCUGGAUGCUGGGUGCGCUGUGAUGAGCAGUAUAGACACAGUUCCAGCUUUCUAUACUGUAUGUCAUCUUCACUAAAGGAUAUCUUCACUUAGAAGUCCUUUCACUUGAAUUAAGAAAAACUCACCAUUUUCCCUCAUUAACAAACAUUUCCUCUUAACUACCACAUUUUAUCAAUAGCAAUACUUUUACACUGGUUUUCUGGGUCCAAAAUUUAGAAGUUACUUUAGCCUUUGGUAUCAGAGGUUGUUAAGAAAAAACACAAUUUAGAAGUUAUUUUAGAAAUUUUACUUUUCUGUCUCCUUUACCCUCUAUGUUCAACUCAGUCCUGAGAUCUGCUGAUUUUUUUUGCAUUAUCUCAUAUCAAUUUUAUCUAUUCCAUGUCUCUUCAUGCCACAUAGUGCAACUCUACAUUGCUUCCUACAGAGGUGACCACUGUGGUUUCUUUACUGGAAUUCUUCUGUACCCACCUUCAUUGGCUCUGGAGCUAAUCUUCGUGAAAUACAUCAUGUCACCCCUCUGCACUUGUACUCUCUUGUUCAUGACCUUACCAAGCACAAAUCCCCAUGCCUGCUUCUUAAGGCCCUUCUUAAUUUGUUGCCAACUCCACUCAGCCACUUUCCUCUUUCAUAUUAUCAUUCAUUUUAACCUUUCUCAGGAGGCUGCACCAGCCUGUAUAGAAAGUACAAGUGACUGGGCUUACGAGGGCAAAAUUUUAGUCCUGGUGCUGUGCUGCAGGUUGACCAUGUGAUAACUUACUUCUUUGGGCUCUCCUCUACUUUCUAUGUGAAGAAGGGAGUAAGAGUCUAGACUGUUUUCAAAAUCACCACACUGUACUCUUCUCCACUAGAUGCAGACCAAGACCUGUUGAGGCUGGUCUGCUCUCAGUUUUAGGAGAACCCCACGUCAGCUUCUUUGCUUCUGCUUACAGCCUAGUUUGGGGGCCCUUUCUUUUCCAUCCACCCUUAAAAUCUACUUCAAGCAUCAAGGUCCACUUAAGACUUAGCUCCUUUGUGAAAUGUUCCCUAACUUCUUAGAUUGGCCAACCAUUGGUCAUCUCUUGCUCCUUUGAGUUCUCAUUACAUUUUGUAUCAGCACUACUCCGUGGAACACUUGAUUUACUGGACUUUCUUUGAGGUAUCCCAUCAGGUAGUCUGUAUCUACUGAAGACAGGGUGUGCACCUUCUACUUUUCUGUCUUCUCUUUUCCAAGUUCCAUCCCCACUGACUAAUCUAAUCUUGACUGACUGUGUCUGAGGUAGAAAGAGUAUCUCUGGCAUUCCUCCUAAAGUAUGUCUAUUACGUUCAGACUAAUGAGAAUAUUAAAAAUUGUGAAUUCUGUAGGACCUUGAAAAUAACCAAAUUCCUCAAAUUUCUGCCUCCCCUCUACCCAGAAUCUAAAACUGAACGGGGACCUUGUGAACAUUCUAGUUUUUGUCUGUUGGAAGAAGAGUUAUAUGGGGAUGUGAAAGACCAGGAGACCCAGAAUCCUGACAGACCUAUCAGAGAGGCAGAGUAGUCCUAUGACAGAGGCAGCCACAGAAGCUCAUGCCCACAUGCCUGUCCCUCUAUCUGGAGACGGCAUACUCACCAUAACAAGAGUCUGU
rnacentral:lncRNA from 1 species